GAAAGUAAGGGCAAUUGCUUAUAUAUUUCUGAAAAAUUUUCGACUUUCUGAUUUAUCCUUCUUAGAAGGUUAAUAUUAAAAAUACUUUUUUUAUGUUUCAAUCUAUUUCUAAUAUACCUCUAGAGUUAAAUUUUGUUAAUAAACUAUUAGCAAUAACUAUUAUCUCUAUGAAAUUACUAUUUUACCCUUUCAGAUAUACCCUUGUACCAUCACCAAUUUUUCUUAUUUAUUUUUAACUUAGGGACACAAAAAGUAUUUUAAUUUUUGAUCUUUUAAAAUAUACCCUUCUACCAUCACCAAUAUUUCUUAUUUGCCCUUAAGUUAAAGGCAAAGAAGGAUUUUGAUUUUUUUAAAAAUUUUGGUAGAUAUUUAACUUACGUUUAACCCAUGUUAACUUAACGGGUGAUAAUUACAGGAAUAUUUUUAGAAGGAUGGAAGAGCAUAUGAGGGGUAUAUUGAAAAAGAAAAAAAAGGUACGAGUAAAUGAGAUAUUUUUAAAAUUUUAAGGAAUAUAUAGGCAAUUAUCCCUAGCAAAAGAGAGUACAAAACUAUCUCUACAUCUUUAUCUAUCUUUAUAGAGAAAACUUCAAAAAUCCCCCCUGUGCUUUCGUAGUUUCUCACUUUGCUCCCCUGUGGUUUAAAAUGUAUCAAUUUGUCUCCCUGUGGUUUCGUUUUUAUCUUUUCGGUAGCUUCUUCGUUAAUAUUUCAUUAAAUUAUAUACAAAAAACUUCAGAUACCAAUCUAGAUUUAUCAAAUAUUCACUUUAGUACCCUUUAAUUUUAACUUUAUCACCUAUUUAAGAAAAAAUAAUAAUAAAAUUGAUAAGAAAAAGAGGGAAAAAAAACAAUAGGGGGACAAAUUGAUACAUUUUAAACCACAGGGGAGGCAAAGUGAGAAACUACGAAACCACGGGGGAGGGUUUUGAAGUUUUUCCAU
rnacentral:lncRNA from 1 species